AACUGUGAUUUGUCGCAGUUAAGAGUCGCAGUUAAGGAACAUAGUUCGUGUAUCCCUCCGCCACUGCUAUUUCUGCGAUUUCUGCUACUUCCGCGAUUUCUGCUACUUCUGCGAUUUCUGUGACUUCUGCUACUUCUGCGAUUUCUGUGAUUCCUGCGACUUACCACCGUAUGAAAAAGUUACAUCUGUCAACACAGAAAAUUGCAUCUCAACAAACCUGUCAUUGGCAAGUACCUGAACUACAUUUCAGUCACUCAGUAAAGUGAUAACUCAAAAUAUCAUUGUCAACAGAUCUGAAGAAAUUGCCACAGCGUCUUUAGACCGUUUUCGUCAGACGAGAGACACAGUUCUGACUCUGAUUACUGGUUGCUGUACGUAUCUAUCCACAUCAAGGCUGUUUUUGAGAGAGACUCUUGAAGAUCCAAGACAGCUCUUAGACGAUUUGCAGUUUAAAAGUGAAAUAAUUGUGAAAUAAGUGUGUGAAUGAUUAAACUGUGUUUUAUUGAAGUUGUUGUGCGAUUUUAAAGGAAUAAUAAAUGUCAAA